rnacentral:rRNA from 1 species
AAGCACGUAGGUGGGUUUGUAAGUCAGACGUGGAAGCCUUCUGUUCAACGGAAGAAUUGCAUCUGAAACUACAAACCUUGAGUGUAGGAGGGGAGAAUGGAACUUCUGGUGGAGCGGUGAAAUGCGUAGAUAUCAGAAGGAACGCCGGCGGCGAAAGCGAUUCUCUGGCCUAUUACUGACACUCAGUGUGCGAAAGCUAGGGGAGCAAACGGGAUUAGAUACCCCGGUAGUCCUAGCCGUAAACGAUGGGCACUAAGUAGAGGGGUUUU